GGAACUUCCUGACUCAGGGAUCAAACCAGGAUCUCUUGCACUGGAGGCAGAUUCUGUUCUGACUGAGCUACCAGGGAAGCUCUAUGUGUAUUAAAUCAUCUUAAGGAAUCUGCAUAUUUGAGAAGUAUCUCUAACGACAAAGAGGUGUGAGUGAGACAUUUGAGAAAUACUGCUCUGGCAUAAACAAUAUUUCCAGGAAAAAAAGAAAAGAUGUAUUGCUCCAGUGCAUAUUUCUAUAUAUAUAUCCAUCCAUCAAGUUGCAGACAGCUCCCUUUCACCAAUGAUGGCUAUCAAUAAAGCCGGCAGAUACAGAAGAAAUCGGUCUUAAAUUGGAGGAAACUGUCAUGAAGGAAUACUUUUCAUAUGUAUGAGUCCUCAAAAGAUUGUGCAAGAUCAUUCUGAGUGACAGAAGACAUCCUAUCAGUAUGAAAUAUCACAAAAGCCAUGAUAAAAAGCUUUAUGCUACAGUAGACUUCUGCACUUGAAUUAGGUAUAUGGGGUAUCAGAAGGGGA
rnacentral:lncRNA from 1 species